UACGUAGGGUGCAAGCGUUAAUCGGAAUUACUGGGCGUAAAGCGUGCGCAGGCGGUUUUUGUAAGUCUGUCGUGAAAUCCCCCGGGCUCAACCUGGGAAUUGCGAUGGAGACUGCAAGGCUAGAAUCUGGCAGAGGGGGGGUAGAAUUCCACGUGUAGCAGUGAAAUGCGUAGAGAUGUGGAGGAACACCGAUGGCGAAGGCAGCCCCCUGGGUCAAGAUUGACGCUCAUGCA
rnacentral:rRNA from 1 species